AGCUGUAAAGGACAGAAAACUAUCUGAGGUCUGAAAGAAAAACUAUUACAAUCUGUUAUCUCAGAGAAACUCAGAGGAAAGAUCGGACUUCACAACGUUGACUCAACGAGAGGCCACGAGUCUCGACUCCAAACUUCUCCCCAGCAAACUGCGGAGGUCACGUGACAGGAGCCUGACGAAUCAGAGAAGGCUGCGCCGGGACCGAAAAGAUCCAAUCAGCAAGAGGCUAGUUGGGAUUUAUCCUCUUUCGCUCCUCGGGACAUGAGUGAGAGCGACGCGGCUGACACUUGAUGAGAAAACCCGAGAGGCGCCAGAAACGUGCUCGAUGCAUCUUCCUCAGAGGGACUGAAGAGGAGCAGGCACCCUGAGGAGCAGCCCAGACUU